AUGCCGCUGGCAGGAGCAGCUCUGCAGGUCGCCUGGCAAGGCCUGUCCCAUUCCCAUGAGCAGCACCACGGGCAAGGUAGAAUGCAGUCAGUCUGCACUCUGAGAUGGAGAAAGAAAAAUCAUCAUAGGAGAGCAGACAAUGCUCCCUGCACGGACACACAUGCUGGUUCAAACAGCUCUUCUUCAUCUGCAGUGAACUAUGCUGGGAGAAGCUGUGCAGCCAGGAGCAAGCAGCAGAGCAUCUGUACACCACUUGGGGAGCAAAACCAUCAGGCAUUUUCUCCUCCAGACAUUCACACCUUUCCUUAUGUAACUGGUGCUGAAGUGAGUGCUUUAAAAGCUGCUUGCCAAAUCCAGGGGCUGGGAGGCAGCACAAAUGCUUCUGGCACUCUAGAUGAAAUUGAGGGGGGAAAAAAAACCCAAACCCAAACACCCAGGAACUCGUACAAAUAUGUAACUGCAACUUGGGGAUGGUUCAAGUGUCUGCAGCAGUGUUGCCCUGAAGAAACUGCACUGGCCUGGGGCAGUGCUGGCACCCAGAUCACCAUCUGAUGAGGGUGGUGAGGAGCUGACUGUCCAGGAUAGAGGGGUGAGCAGCUGGGGGCCAUUUUUUUUCUUACACAAUAUUAAAAAAAAAACAAAAAAAACCCCAACCAAACCUAAAAAAAAAAAAAAUCAGGUAGUGCAGCCAGGAAAAGGGCGCCAGGGAGGCUAGAGGUGGCUGAAAUACUCUUCUAAAUGGUGCUUUGUGCUGGCAGAACCUGCAGAUGUAUUAAAAAAAAAAAGUCAACAAAAAUGCAGGACUGCUCACCAAUGAAAAACAGGUAUAUCCUUCACUUUGUGAUUUUUGGGUGGCACAGGAGCUAGCCAGGAGAAGCAUCUGAGGAGAGAGAAGCUCUGAAGUCCAUUCCUGCCCACUCCAGGGAAGAAAGAAGCUGCCCACGGUGCCUGAGGGACAUGGGGACACGAGGUCCGUGCACAGCCAGGCACAGCAUCCUCGAGCCACCCUGCACGCUUGGAUCCCUGCCUUGCCUGCGAGCCAGUUGUUCCCUCUCCAGUACGCGCCGUACGCAGGGCUUUUGGUUUGUUUUUUAAGGGAAAAAACAAUAAUUUAUUUGCUUUGUUUUAAUCUCAUAACAAUGGGUAAUGGUAAUUUCUUCCUACCACUCUGUAGUGGCCUAGAAAAGGACAGCAUCGUCUCCACUGUAGCAAGAAGGCUUGUCCCAGGGCAUAAAAUUUUAAUUAGGAACAAUCACGCAGCCUUGAAAUGGGAAUUGCGAGCAGCAAAAAAGUCAAACCAUCAAUAAAAUAUUCAAUGGCAGAAAUGUAUUAUUGACA
rnacentral:lncRNA from 1 species